rnacentral:lncRNA from 1 species
UGUCCUUUGUAAAGACACUGGCACCAGCCUCUAACAGCAACUUUGCCAUCAAAUAUAAUCCCUCUGAAGCGGCUACGUGAAGUGGGGUCCGGUGGUCAUAAUCUCUGGAAUUUGGAUCAACGCCAUUGGACAAAACUCUUUUAAGUAAAUCUGAAUCCCCCCUGGCAACAGCAAUACAUAGAAAACUACCAGCGUCAUCUACAUUCAAGGAGGCCCCUUCUUUAACAAGUAAAGAAGUAACUCCGUCAUGACCGCAUUUAAUGGCUUCUAGCAAGGGUGUGUUCCCAAAUUUAUCUGUGUAAAACAAAUCAACGACACAUGUUACCAUGACUUGACUGACAGAUUAAAGUUUCAUAGACAAACUAAUAUGGAAAUUAUUUCAUUAUACAAUUACCUUUAAUGUUAAUGUCUACUCCUUUUUGAAUAAGGAAAAGUGUAAUAUCUUCAUACCCUCUUGAUGUUGCCAGAUGCUGUUGAAAGCAAAAGAUCAUGAUCAGAUGGCAACAAUUAGUUGAAAAACUCCCAGCAAUUCUGGUUCCAUGACAACUUGCAACAGCAUAGAAAUUCAAAAACCCAUUAAUCUCAUAUCAAUUAAAUUGGAAUGCAUGUUUCUUGGAACUCUCAUCCAUAAGGAGUUAGCAAUAAGGCUUGGGCCUAUAAAGAACUGGUGAAGUACUAGUGAAAAUAAACUUUUCUCUUCAAUUUAAACAUAUACACAGGUAACAUAAAAGUAGUGGAGGUUGUUCUUCAUGCUUAUAUUUAAUUUGUCUUUAUCCUGAAUAUUCCAGAAGUAGAAAUCGUAGAGUUUUAGCAUUUAUCUAAUCAUUUAAAUGCAGUACAAAACCCAUUGUUCAAUGGCAUUAAUUUAAUCUUCAACAGUACUAAUUUCAUAGGUAAUGACAAGAACCUAUCCUGUCACAACUUCUCAAUGGUGUGAGUCUUCUCAAUGGUGUGAGUUAUAUCACUACUAAGAACUCCAGAAUAGAAUUAAAUUUUCAAAUAACUAGCAAUGUUAGCAAUUGCAGUUCCAAACAGGCUAGGAUGACCUGCACCUACCAUUUUCUAGAUGUCCCAUCAAAAGGGCUAGUAAAGAUAAGUUCAGAACUAAGUAAUUGACAAUCAGAAAAAUAAACCAAUACCAAGGGUGAUCUUCCAUCAUAAUCUGUCUUGUUCGGAUCAGCUCCAGCACGGAUUAAACCUUUCAGCUGAUACAAAUCUCCAUGGUAAGCUGCACUAUUAAACCUCAAUGCAAGCUCUGCUUCAUGCUUACCAAUGUGAAAUGUGAUGUCUGACUCCACCUGCUUAAGUCGAAGAUUGGAUUCUUUGCCCUGUCAAUUAUGUAAUUGCAAAAAUUGACUACUUAAUUAUUUAUUGUUUAAAUGAAAAAUGAAAAAUCCAGUGAUAUUUAGUCAUGCUUUUCUACCUACUACAGCCACAAACAGAAAAGUAGAACUUCAGCAGUAGCAAUUAAUUCAUCACCAUAGUCAUAUUACCUCUAAAAGGUUGGUCAAAACUUUCCUACCAUCACAGAAAUAUAUCUCAAGAAUACUUGUAAAAGACUGUUUAUCAAUCCGCAGAAGCCUAGACAGUUCACAUAUACGAACUGUAUAAGGCUGAGGAAUGUUGCAAAGAAUAGAGACUUCUCCAAAUGAGCUGUUAGGUUGUAGUUGUGAAACAGUUUCUUCUGAUCCAUCUUCCCCCACACCAACCUCCUCCUGCACAAAGGUAAAUAUUGCUAAUUUUAAAUAAUUCUAUGGAUUUGUAGUUUAUAAGAGUGGCUUAGAAUAUCAAUUAAGAUAACCAACAUAUAUUAGGCGGUGAACAAGAAUCUCCUGCUUAUAAAUGUUGUAAAACUGGCCAUACCACAUAUUUGACACUUGGAAACCAUUGCACAAAUAUGCAGCAGGGAUAUUGUCUUUCAAUUUUUCUUUUUUAAUUUUAUUGUAAUUUGACACCUGAAGAAAUAAAAUGACAAUAGACUUGCACAUAAGAGAUAUGAAAUAUACAAUGCUAGAAAUUUCCCCUUUGUCAUUGUUUUUGUUUUCUGUUUGAAGUAGAGAUUGUUCACUUGAUCACUGCAGUGUCAUUAUUUUCAACAACGAAAAUAACAUGUUAUAAGAUCAAUUUUUUUCCCCUAAAAUAACCAGUAAAUGUUUUCUUUCUGUUUUAUUUUUGGGGGACUGUUGAAUCAUCAAAAGUGCCUUAUACGUUGAAGAGCCAAUUUAAAAAAAAAAAAAUUGGUAUAUUAAAAAUUUAAAAUAGAGUGUACUUACAAGUUUUUAAACUGGUCAGCAUGAAAUACAGCCACUUUCAACAUGUGUUGAUGCAGCCCAAUGUGAAAAACCAGUUUAACAUAUAUAAAGGUGUGAAGCUGUGUUUCUAUUUUUUUUAAAAAAAAAAACUUACAUAGUUUCUUUCUCAAUCAUCAAAGGUGGUUCACAGAGAGUGAAACCAAACAGAUUGGUGCAUUUGUAGUAAGGCAUCAAAAAGAUUGAAUUAAAUGCACAUAGCCUUAAGAGUAAUAUAUAACAUGACUGUAUCCAUAUAUCUAUGAGGCAAAAUAAAUUUUUCAAUGGUACCUGUCCUUUGUAAAGACACUAGCACCAGCCUCUAACAGCAACUUUGCCAUCAAAUAUAAUCCCUCUGAAGCAGCUACGUGAAGUGGGGUCCGGUGGUCAUAAUCUCUGGAACUUGGAUCAACGCCAUUAGACAAAACUCUUUUAAGGAAAUCUGAAUCCCCCCUAGCAACAGCAGUACAUAGAAAACUACCAGCGUCAUCUACAUUCAAGGAGGCCCCUUCUUUAACAAGUAAAGAAGUAACUCCGUCAUGACC